rnacentral:Y_RNA from 1 species
GGCUGGUCCAAAGGUAGUGAGUUAUCUCAAUUGUUCACAGUCAGUUACAGAUUGAACUCCACGUUCCACUCUUUCCCUGCUUCUCACUGGUUGUACUUGACUAGUCUUUA